rnacentral:rRNA from 2 species
AGGUCAAGCUAAUAAGGGCUAACGGUGGAUACCUAGGCACACGGAAGCGAAGAAGGACGUAGUUACCGACGAAACGCUUCGGGGAGCGGGAAGCAAGCAUUGAUCCGAAGAUAUCCGAAUGGGGCAACCCUAAACACGACCACCUGAAUAUAUAUGGUGGAGCGAGCAAACCUGGUGAACUGAAACAUCUUAGUAGCCAGAGGAAAAGAAAGCAACAGCGAUUCCCCCAGUAGCGGCGAGCGAAAAGGGAACAGCCUAAACCAAGUUCUUCGGAACUUGGGGUCGUGGGACAGUAACAAAAGACUGGGAAAUUUAGACGAAGCGGCUGAAAACCGCACCAGAGAAGGUGAAAGUCCUGUAGUCGAAAAAGGAACCAGCUUAACUGCAUCCCGAGUAGCAUGGGGCACGUGAAAUCCCGUGUGAAUCUGCCUCGACCACGAGGUAAGGCUAAAUAUUCCCGUGUGACCGAUAGAGAAACAGUACCGCGAGGGAAAGGUGAAAAGAACCCCGGAAGGGGAGUGAAAUAGAACAUGAAACCGUUAGCCUACAAGCAAUGGGAGGACGAUUGAACGUCUGACCGUGUGCCUGUUGAAGAAUGAGCCGGCGACUUACAGGUUAUGGCAGGUGAAGGGGGAAGACCCCACAGCCCCAGCGAAAGCGAGUCUGAAUAGGGCGAAGCGUCAUAAUUUGUAGACCCGAACCCGGGUGAUCUAACCAUGGCCAGGAUGAAGCUUGGGUAAAACCAAGUGGAGGUCCGAACCGACUAAUGUUGAAAAAUUAGCGGAUGAGCUGUGGUUAGGGGUGAAAUGCCAAUCGAACUCGGAGCUAGCUGGUUCUCCCCGAAAUGUGUUGAGGCGCAGCGGUAGUGGAAGUUUAGUCGGGGUAAAGCACUGUUUCGCCGCGGGCUGGGAGACCGGUACCAAGGCGAGGCAAACUCUGAAUACGGCUAAAAAAACUACCAGUGAGACGGUGGGGGAUAAGCUUCAUCGUCAAGAGGGAAACAGCCCAGACCACCAGCUAAGGUCCCCAAAUGAUAACUAAGUGAGAAAGGAGGUGGGAGUGCAUUGACAACCAGGAGGUUUGCCUAGAAGCAGCAAUCCUUAAAAGAGUGCGUAAUAGCUCACUGGUCAAGCGCUCCUGCGCCGAAAAUGAACGGGGCUAAGUUAUCUACCGAAGCUGUGGACUACAUUGUAGUGGUAGGGGAGCGUUCUAUAGGGGGUGAAGCAGUAGCGGCAAGCAGCUGUGGACUCUAUAGAAGUGAGAAUGUCGGCUUAAGUAGCGAAAAUGUGGGUGAGAAUCCCACACCCCGAAACCCCAAGGUUUCCUCCGCAAGGCUCGUCCGCGGAGGGUCAGUCAGGACCUAAGGCGAGGCUGAAAAGCGUAGUCGAUGGACAACGGGUUAACAUUCCCGUACCGAUUAAUGAUUGUGCCGGAGAACGGAGAAGGUCAACGUCAGCUGGAUGUUGGUUACCAGUGCAAGCAGUCGAGGCGAUGAGAGGUGGAGAAAACACCAGGAGCUAAGACGCGAGUCCCACCUCCCACGGGAGGGAAGUGGCGCUGAUCAAGCUUCCUAGAAAAGCCCGAACCACGUUAAUCAUUAAUUGCCUGUACCCGAAACCGACACAGGUGGGGAAGUAGAGAAUACUAAGGGGCGCGAGAUAACUCUCUCUAAGGAACUCGGCAAAAUGACCCCGUAACUUCGGGAGAAGGGGUACCCUCGCAAGAGGGUCGCAGUGAAUAGGCCCAGGCGACUGUUUACCAAAAACACAGGUCUCCGCCAAGUCGUAAGACGCAGUAUGGGGGCUGACGCCUGCCCAGUGCCGGAAGGUUAAGGAAGUUGGUCAGGAGUAAUCUGAAGCUGACGACCGAAGCCCCGGUGAACGGCGGCCGUAACUAUAACGGUCCUAAGGUAGCGAAAUUCCUUGUCGGGUAAGUUCCGACCCGCACGAAAGGCGUAACGAUCUGGGCACUGUCUCGGAGAGAGACUCGGCGAAAUAGGAUUGUCUGUGAAGAUACGGACUACCUGCACCUGGACAGAAAGACCCUAUGAAGCUUUACUGUAGCCUGGAAUUGGCUUCGGGCUUCGCUUGCGCAGGAUAGGUGGGAAGCUUUGAAACUCUCCUCGUGGGGAGAGUGGAGCUAACGGUGAGAUACCACUCUGGCGAGGCUAGAAUUCUAACCCUGACCCCUAAUCGGGGCGGGAGACAGUUUCAGGUGGGCAGUUUGACUGGGGCGGUCGCCUCCUAAAAGGUAACGGAGGCGCGCAAAGGUUCCCUCGGUCCCGUUGGAAAUGGGACGAUAGAGUGCAAAAGCAGAAGGGAGCUUGACUGUGAGACCCACAAGUCGAACAGGGACGAAAGUCGGCUUUAGUGAUCCGACGGCACCGCGUGGAAGGGCCGUCGCUCAACGGAUAAAAGUUACUCUAGGGAUAACAGGCUGAUCUCCCCCAAGAGUUCACAUCGACGGGGAGGUUUGGCACCUCGAUGUCGGCUCAUCGCAACCUGGGGCUGAAGUCGGUCCCAAGGGUUGGGCUGUUCGCCCAUUAAAGCGGUACGUGAGCUGGGUUCAGAACGUCGUGAGACAGUUCGGUCCAUAUCCGGUGUAGGCGUAAGAGCAUUGCGAGGAGCCUUCCUUAGUACGAGAGGACCGGGAAGGACGCACCGCUGGUGUACCUGUUAUCGUGCCAACGGUAAACGCAGGGUAGCCAUGUGCGGAGCGGAUAACCGCUGAAAGCAUCUAAGUGGGAAGCCCACCUCCAGAUGAUUGCUCUCAUGGCAUUAAGCCAGUAAGGUCUCGGGUAGACUACCCGUUGAUAGGCUCUAGAUGGAAGCUCGGUAACGAGUGCAGUCGAGGAGUACUAACCGACCGAGGGCUUGACCUG